AAACCCCAGCACCCGGCUCCACAGCCUACUGGAAAUACGCUGGGAGCCACCAGGUCCGAAUGGCGUGGGCAGGCGGACGGCGGCAGAGGCGGUCCGCCGGGAGCCGGGGCGUUGGUGGCCGCCGAAGGUGGGCGGCAGCUGCCGUUUGUGAAGUCAACCCGUUGUCGGCCGCCCCCCAGGGUACCGCCCCUGCGUCGCCUGCAUCACCACAAGGCCCCUGGCUCAAAUACAGACUUCGGGGCCUACCCAGACUUGCUGACUUGGAAACGCAGCGGUGAUUAUUAAGCACUCCUAGGUUUAAGAACUAAUCAUUCAGAGGUUUUCCUCACUGGCAAACUCGGAAGCUAGUGAUAUGCAGCACAAUACUCUCUUAUGAUGGUGGGCAGUGGCAGCAAGCCAGAGCUCCCAGUCACCCACAAGAUCAUGUGGGUAAACAACCAAUACUCUACAGCAUAUUGUGUUGCCAGCAUUUUUUGGAUACAGGUAUUCAAUAAAUUACGUGAGCUAUUUCAACA